GGAAGUAAAAGUCGUAACAAGGUUUCCGUAGGUGAACCUGCGGAAGGACCAUUAAUGAUUUUUAAAGCGAGUCGAGCGUUAAGCGAGGCUUGCGAAAUAUUUAAAACCCCACUCUUUUAACCUUAAAAAAUAAAUCAUGAUAUACAUGGAUUUAAAAAAAAGAUCACUUUCAACAACGGAUCUCUUGGCUCUCGCAUCGAUGAAGAACGCAGCGAAAUGCGAUGAGUAGUGUGAAUUGCAUAAUUUUGUGAAUCAUCGAAUCUUUGAACGCAAAUUGCACUCUCUGGUAUUCCGGAGAGUAUGCCUGUUUGAGGGUCAGUUAAAUAAAAAUCGGUGUUGUUGCUGCCUUUCGUGGUGACGCGUCGGAAUUGAGUUGUCUUACCUUCGGUUAAGUGACUUAAAAUUUUGUAUGAUUUUUGAACGUAUUUAAAUUUAUUUGUACGUUUGAGAUAUCGAAUAUUUAUUAGGUUCGGUCAUUCUAACGACUCAUGCCUAUAAUUUUUCAUUAAAUGACCUCAAAUCAGGUAAGAGUACCCGCUGAACUUAAGCAUAUCAAUAAGCGGAGGA
rnacentral:rRNA from 1 species